CUAUACAUGACUCUGCGCAUAUCAAUAAGCGGAGGAAAAGAGACUAACAAGGAUUCCCUCAGUAACGGCGAGUGAAGCGGGAAGAGCUCAAAUUUGAAAUCUUGAAAGGUCACCUUUCACGAAUUGUAGUUUAAAGAAGUGUUUUCUGUUACGAUCGUAAUAUAAGUUCUUUGGAAUAGGACAUCACAGAGGGUGAGAAUCCCGUCUAUGAUUGCGAUUUGUAGCUUUGUGAUACACUUUCAAAGAGUCGGGUUGUUUGGGAAUGCAGCCCAAAACGGGAGGUAAAUUUCUUCUAAGGCUAAAUAUUGGCGAGAGACCGAUAGCGAACAAGUACCGUGAGGGAAAGAUGAAAAGAACUUUGAAAAGAGAGUUAAAUAGUACGUGAAAUUGUCAAAAGGGAAGCGUUUAACACCAGUGUUGUUUUCUGAAAAUCAACCUCUGUUAGCUUUAUGCAUGUUUGUUUAGACCUAAUCAGCUAUCUUGCAUGUUCUAUUGUUUGCAGUGGUGCACUUUUCAGUUUACAGGUCAACAUCAGUUUUUUUUACCGUAAAAAAGUUAAAGAAAGGUAGCUCAUGGCUCCGGUCGUGAGUGUUAUAGUCUUUUUCCUAUGCGGUAGGAGAGACUGAGGUCUGCAGUGUAGGGCUAUUUGGCUAGAUACUCAGGUGCUAUGUGAUACCAUUUCAUAAACAACUUGUUGAUUAUGUUUUGUCUAUUGCAUACUCGCUUGUACUAUCAUACCUACGCUUAGGAUGUUGAGUCGUAGAGCACGCAG
rnacentral:rRNA from 1 species